rnacentral:misc_RNA from 1 species
GAAAUGCGAUACGUAAUGCGAAUUGCAGAAUUCAGUGAAUCAUCGAAUCUUUGAACGCAAAUUGCGCUCUCGGGUUACCCCCAAGAGCACACCUCUCUGAGUGUCGGUUUAACCAAAUGUCACCAAUUUAUUGGUGUACGAUUGUUGAGGGUAAGGGGUCUCGGCUUCUUUCCUUUUAAAUUUCAGCCGCACGACUGUGUGUGUUCGUGGCAAGUUGCUUUCACUUAACUGUGAAUCCAAUCCACUGACCCUAUGUCAUGCAGCAAAAAGAAACAACUGGGCAUAUAUCAAGCUUGAAGAUGAAUGAAAGUGUCAUUCUUGAAGUAAGAUUGUGUUCAACCUAUGAAUUAGACCUCAGAUGAAGUGGGAAGACCCCCUGAAUUUAA